UCACGCAUAUCUGCGAAGAUACUCCCGAAUAACCCUUCAACAAUGCGUGCCGUAACCAUUUUCAUCGUUACUCUUGUUGUUCUGGAAAGCUUCUACUUUGGCAUGUAUGAAUGCUCAGCAGGACCUGCUUGGCAGGUGAAGGCUAAGAGACCUAAAUGUUAUAGGAAAGCAUGCAAGGAUAAUAAUGAAUGCAAAUUUGGGUCGUGCUCACGUUGCAAUAACGGCCUUCAUGGAGACAAUACUUGCCGCUAAGAGUACAGUAGAUAAAGUGCCGCUAUAUUGUAGUGCACGAAUAA